GACGAACGCUGGCGGCGUGCCUAAUACAUGCAAGUCGAGCGAAGAUCCUGUGUUAGAUCCCUUCGGGGAGAAGACACAGACAUCUUAGCGGCGGACGGGUGAGUAACACGUGGUUAACCUGCCUCAUAGACUGGGAUAACUCCGGGAAACCGGUGCUAAUACCAGAUAAAAGCCAUCAUCGCAUGAUGAAAGCUUAAAAGAUGCUCCAAAGCAUCCCUAUGAGAUGGACCCGCGGUGCAUUAGCUAGUUGGUGGGGUAGAGGCCUACCAAGGCGACGAUGCAUAGCCGGCCUGAGAGGGUGACCGGCCACACUGGGACUGAGACACGGCCCAGACUCCUACGGGAGGCAGCAGUAGGGAAUUUUCCGCAAUGGGCGAAAGCCUGACGGAGCGACGCCGCGUGAGUGAAGAAAGCCUUCGGGUUGUAAAGCUCUGUCUUUGGUGAAGAAGAACCUGAGGAAGAAAUGCCUUANGAGUGACGGUAGCCGAGGAGGAAGCCCCGGCUAACUACGUGCCAGCAGCCCGCGGUAAUACGUAGGGGGCGAGCGUUGUCCGGAAUUAUUGGGCGUAAAGGGCGCGCAGGCGGUCUAUACAAGUCUUG
rnacentral:rRNA from 1 species